rnacentral:lncRNA from 1 species
GCACGCACAAUGCGAAAAGAUAACACAUCUUUGUUUAUACGUCUCUGUCAGUGUCAUAUGAAAACACAUAGUUCAACUUAAAGCAAUGUAGUACUGUGUUUACUCUAUGUGAGCAGGUUUUGGGAACAAGAACAUUUUUAAAAUUUUUACAGGAAAAUCCCAUUUUGACCUCCCCAAAAAAACAACGUGUUUCAUUAUUACUUGUGGAAACUUCACUGAGUCAGUUUGUUUUACAGUUAGCGACAGAAAAUCUAAAUAAUAAGUACCUUUGUACAGUACUAAUCUGUGGCAACAAAAGGUGUCGUUUGACCAGUUAUAAUUAUAUAUAAUUAUCUAAAGGGCACACAACUGGUGUGGCAUUUUUACUGUGAGUUCUAUAAUGGUUCAAGAAAAGGUUACGUCAAUGCACAGAUGAUAAAUGUUAUUACCGGUAGUUUAAUUUUGGGCUGGUCUCAUUAUCGAUAAUACUUAAAUUGUAAUGAGCAAAAUAGUUUCAUACUAAAGCAAGAAAGUCAGGAGAAGUAUGAUGCAUUCUUCUGAUAUUUUCUUAUGCUACUCAAAGCUCUUUCAUACAAACUAAACUCUAUGCUUGUUUUUUUCCUCCUAGCGGCAGAGUAUUUCCACAGAAACAGCUUUAACGUUGUCUCUGCCAGAUAAUGAGACCAGCUGCCUGAGCGUCCGGUCCAUGUUGAAUAAGUACUGUGCCAAGAGGGGUCUGUGGAGUGACUGGAGUCCAUCUGUGUGCUACCCAGGUAUACACCCCUCUGUUGUUACAUCCAAAUGACUUUACUGAGUGAAGCACCUCUGUGUCUGUCGUAUGGCUCAAUGCCUGAGGUGCAGCACAUACGCACGGUGUGAGUUUGAGUCCUCUUCCCUGUUUUCCAGAGAAAAGGAUUUGACAUCAGCAGCAAGACAGGACAUGUUUCCUGAGUACAUGUACAUUACUGUGAUCCUCAUUGUUGCUGUCCUGGUGGUGGGUUUGUGCCUGUGGACUGCCGUCACUAUGCGGUGGUUGAGACAAGUGAAGACAAAGGACUCCUCAUUCAGCAGCCUGUUUGACAAGAGCUCAGAGACAUAUAUACCAGGGGUUCGGCACAACUGAAAAUCAAGACACUGCAGCUCACAAUCAUUUCAUGAAGAGGAGAUCAUCUCAUUUUACGCCAGUCUUGCCAUUUUUACUGUUUUAUGCUGCUUUUAUGUUCACAUGCAGACUACAGUAUGUAACAGCCAGGACUUUUGUAGAGUAUAGUGCCAUAUUAUUAUAACGACACAUAUAAAUGUAUGCUUUUGUUUAUUGUACUGUAACAAAUCAAUAUAUCAUUAUUUGUGAAAUAUACGUAAAUAAAAUACAAG